rnacentral:rRNA from 1 species
UGCCUACGGGUGGCAGCAGCCGCGGUAAUACGGAGGGUGCAAGCGUUAAUCGGAAUUACUGGGCGUAAAGCGCACGCAGGCGGUUGGAUAAGUUAGAUGUGAAAGCCCCGGGCUCAACCUGGGAAUUGCAUUUAAAACUGUCCAGCUAGAGUCUUGUAGAGGGGGGUAGAAUUCCAGGUGUAGCGGUGAAAUGCGUAGAGAUCUGGAGGAAUACCGGUGGCGAAGGCGGCCCCCUGGACAAAGACUGACGCUCAGGUGCGAAAGCGUGGGGAGCAAACAGGAUUAGAUACCCCAGUAGUCCG